rnacentral:rRNA from 1 species
CACGUAGGGCGCGAGCGUUGUCCGGAAUUAUUGGGCGUAAAGAGCUCGUAGGCGGCCUGUUGCGUCCGCUGUGAAAGCCCCGGGGCUUAACCCCGGGUCGGCAGUGGAUACGGGCAGGCUAGAGGUAGGUAGGGGAGAAUGGAAUUCCCGGUGUAGCGGUGAAAUGCGCAGAUAUCGGGAGGAACACCGGUGGCGAAGGCGGUUCUCUGGGCCUUACCUGACGCUGAGGAGCGAAAGCGUGGGGGAGCGAACAGG